GAUCCUGGCUCAGGAUGAACGCUAGCUACAGGCUUAACACAUGCAAGUCGAGGGGCAGCAUGGUCUUAGCUUGCUAAGGCUGAUGGCGACCGGCGCACGGGUGAGUAACACGUAUCCAACCUGCCGUCUACUCUUGGCCAGCCUUCUGAAAGGAAGAUUAAUCCAGGAUGGCAUCAUGAGUUCACAUGUCCGCAUGAUUAAAGGUAUUUUCCGGUAGACGAGUGGGGA
rnacentral:rRNA from 1 species